UACGAAGGGGGCUAGCGUUGUUCGGAAUUACUGGGCGUAAAGCGCACGUAGGCGGAUAUUUAAGUCGGGGGUGAAAUCCCGGGGCUCAACCCCGGAACUGCCUUCGAUACUGGGUAUCUUGAGUUCGGGAAGAGGUGAGUGGAAUUGCGAGUGUAGAGGUGAAAUUCGUAGAUAUUCGCAGGAACACCAGUGGCGAAGGCGGCUCACUGGUCCGAUACUGACGCUGAGGUGCGAAAGCGUGGGGAGCAAACAGG
rnacentral:rRNA from 1 species